GGGAUAACCUCAUGAUCCGUAGCAGUGCUUGCGUGCUAGUCCAUUGAGUUAUAUAGGGAAGGAUUCUUUCCUCUCUUUUCUUUGUAGAUAUUGUGGUGGUAUUAAGUAUUUGUAGUGCUUAUAUUAGAUGAUCGUUGAAGUGCCUCGCCAUAAAGUGUUUGUUUAGUUGUCCCAUUAUUUAUAAUGAUAUGACCAAGUCUAGGUUUUAUAGGUUCGAUGUUAUGACUGUGGUGAACUAAAAUUGUAUUUGUAGUGCUUAUAUUAGAUGAUCGUUGAAGUGCCUCGCCAUAAAGUGUUUGUUUAGUUGUCCCAUUAUUUGUAAUGAUAUGACCAAGUCUAGGUUUUAUAGGUUCGAUGUUAUGACUGUGGUGAACUAAAAUUGCGUAGGAUGAGUUCAGAAUUUUUAUCGUCUAUCUGACGGUUCCUAUCAGUGUUGUUGUGUUGAUUGUGUUUAUAUGUGAAGUUUAGGUCUAAAAUUAUGAGUUUAUUUGAAAUGAUUUUGUGCACGAUUAUGAGGUGGACUAGUACAUAUAUGUGAUU
rnacentral:lncRNA from 1 species